rnacentral:miRNA from 14 species
UGUGUGUGUGUGUGUGUGUGUGUGUGUGUUUGCACACAGAAUUUCCGUUGGCCUCAUUAUGGUAAAAUGAUCAAAGAUGAAGUUUUGUCCAUCAGUGUUUACAACUGCAGUAAAGUCUUCUCCAACAGGUAACAGACACGCACACACACCCACACACACACACA